rnacentral:rRNA from 1 species
UACGGAGGGUGCGAGCGUUGUCCGGAAUCAUUGGGCGUAAAGGGCGCGUAGGUGGCCCGGUCAGUCUUUGGUGAAAGCGCGGGGCUCAACCCUGCGUCGGCCAGGGAUACUGCCGCGGCUCGAGCACUGUAGAGGCAGGCGGAAGUCCGGGUCGGUAGCGGUAAAAUGCGUAGAUAUUGGGAGGAACACCAGUGGCGAAGGCGGCUUACUGGACCGUAACUGACGCUGGAGACACGAA